rnacentral:lncRNA from 1 species
GUGACCCUAGCGCGGUGACUUCUGGGAAAUGUAGUCCACCCGGAAUAACCAUGUCCACGGCGCCCGCCAUUCUGUAGCCUAUGCUCGGAGGGCACAUGAGCAAGAGCUUGACCAUCUGUACCGUUGGUUGACUUGCUCUAUUAAGGGCUAUGAUUUCAGGUCGUCCUGCGUGUUUAGAGGAGGCGAGUGGAAUCUUGAGUCUCGGCUGGAGAAGGCAGAGCACGGGCAUGCAGACCUCAAAGCCUCAAACCUGCGUGUGAGAGGAGAAGUUGGCGAGCUCCAGCGUAUGGUCCACGGAAGAUACAAGACAACAGCUUCUGCGAACCAGUAAGAGUGGCCUCAUUAGACAUUGGAUUUGCCAGUGACUUGAUCAUGGACUUCCCAGUCUCCAGGACUGUGAGUUAUAAAGGUCUUUCACCAUAUUUGCUGUCCUUGGGCAAGAUCAGAGUCAUCUUUGGAAGGAAAAGCAUCUCUGGAUUUUGUUAAAUACCAUCUUAGGAAAGUACUCUCUGCUCUUCAAAGUCAGCGACGACAUGAGUCACUGUUACAGAACCCACAGAAUGUGUCCCUUAAAAUACUGAGAAUGAACACUAUUUUACUGCCUGCAUAAUUAGCACUAGACAGGUGAAUUUAUUACUACUUCAUUAAAUAGAUGAGUUUAUUAACUCAGUGAAGACUUGUGGGAACCUUACUAAAAGAGAUGCAAUUCCCCAGCCUCAAGAUGCUCACAGUCUAGUGAUGAGGAAGCUGGCAAUUCCACUAUACAUGGCUAAAUGCCAGAGUAGUGCACAGCAUCCUUUAGCGGCAUGAGGAAUGGGCUCAUAAGCCCACAGUGGAAUGCAGGGGUUCUACACAAACGUAGCUUAAUCUGAGCCCUGGAGGGUGACUGAGCUCUAUUAGCCAGAGAAUCCAAAUCACUAUAAAACUCCCAGAGAACAAAUGUCAUGAUGUGAAGACAAAUAACAGGCAGAAAGAGAUGGGCAGGAAGGCAGAAUUCAAACCAUGAUGACGUUCAAGUCACAAAAUUAUCUGCAAGUCAGCAGGAGAACACUGAAGGACUUCUGGAAAGGAGAGUAAAAAGAUUCCUUUCAUGUUAGAAACAGAUUACCCUCUCAAACGGGAGGAGGCUUGAGGGGGAGGAGGCUAGGGCCAGAGAGACUAUUAGGAGAGCCACACUAAGAAACUCUUUCUUCUUUAUUCAAAUGUCACCACCUCAGAGUCUCUCUCUAGCCAUCCUGUAGAUAAUUUCGGUCUCCUAACUGCACCCCAACACUUCCUAUCCCUCAUCUCUGCUUACUUCUUUUCUCUAAGCCCUUAUUCCUCUCUAACAUCCUUCUAGGUAUUUACUUACUUAUAUUCAUUACACUUGUCUAAUGUGGAGUUUCGUUACCUGCUCCAUCCCCAACACCUACUAAGUUGCUACAAGCAUUUGGAAGGAACCCAAAGAUUUGCAGAAUGACUACUUUAAUGACUCAGUGAAUAGUUGAUAGAUACACCAUGUGGAUCAGGGCCUCAUUAUUUAUCACCUGAACCAUUCAUUCAACAUAUGAUUGUUGAAGGGUCUACUCUGUGCCAGCCAAGGGUCCUAGAUGUGAAAUAUACAGCAGUGAACAAAGACCUUGAUCUCACAAAGAUGAUAUUAUAAUGGGCUACGAGGGCAUAGCAAACCCCCAAUAUAUAGCGAGAGACACUUUUAAGAACAAUAGGGCAGGGUAAAGAAAUAAAGAGAUGAAAGGAGGGGCUGUCACAGAAUAAGUUUUUGUCAUGAAAGAUUUCUCUUAUAUUUGAACAGAGACCUCAAAUAUAGGAAGAGAAAGCCAUGUAGAGAUCUGAUAUCUGAAGGCAUGUAAUUCAGCCCUGAAGAACAUAGAAAAUUUUUUUUUGUUAAAAAGCCAUAGGUCUGGUAUUUAGCAAAGACAUGGAAUCAACCUAAAUGCCCGUCGAUAGCAGUCUGGAUAAAGAAAAUGUGGUGCAUAUACACCAUGGAAUACUAGGCGGCCAUAAAAAAGAUGUCCUGGCUGGGCGCGGUGGCUCAUGCCUGUAAUCCCAGCACUUUGGGAGAGUGAGGCAGGCGGAUCACCUGAGGUUAGGAGUUCGAGAACAGCCUAACCAACAUGGAGAAACCCUGUCUCUACUUAAAAAAAAAAAUACAAAAUUAGCCAGGCAUGAUGGCGAAUGCCUGUAAUCCCAGCUACUCAGGAGGAUGAGGCAGGAGAAUUGCUUGAACCUGGGAGGUCAAGCUUGUGGUGAGCCAAGAUCGCACCAUUGCACUCCAGUCUGGGCAACAAGAGCGAAACUCUGUCUCAAAAAAAAAAAAAAAAAAAAGAUGUCCUUUGCAGGAAGAUGGAUGGAGCUGGAGGACAUUAUUCUUAGUAAACUAAUACAGGAACAGAAAACCAAAUACCGCAUGUUCUAACUCAUCAGUGGGAGCUAAAUGAUGAGAAUACAUGGACACACAGAGGGGAACAACAGACACUGGGGUCUCCAUCAGAGGGUGGAGGGUGGGAGGAGGGAGAGGACCAGAAAAAAUAACUCAUGGGUACUAGGCUUAAUACCUGGGUGACAAAAUAAUCUGUACAACAAACCCCCAUGACACAAGUUUACCUGUAUAACAAACCUGCACGUGUACUUCUGCAGUUACAGAAGAUCAAGGAUGGGACUAAGAACCUAUUUCUACCAAUAUCCCAGGUGAUGCUAAUGCUGCUGGUCCCUAAAUUACAAUUUGAUAGCAUCAGUUAAAACAGCUCUCUAGAUAUUUUCAGACAGACUAACACUUGAGGUUUUCACCUCCAAUUUUUCUACUAACCCCAAUAUACUAUCCUAUUGCCUAAGGGCAAAAAGAACUAAAGAAGGUAAAAACAAACUGCAAGCUUCUCUUUCUCUCUGAUACUAACAAACAGGAAUGAAGGUUUGUUAGGAUCAGGAGUGCCAAGAUCAACUCUAUGCUCCUAACAUUAACCACGAAAAAACCCAGGCCACUCAUAAAAUACUCCCUAUAAUGACAGCAACUGACAUUUAGAGCAACUGACUGGCUGCCUACCAAGGCACUGUUUACAUAAAUUCUUCACAUGUAGUAUCUCAUUUGAUUUUCAUAACGAUGAUAGAGAUUGAGAAAAUAAUUAUGCCCAUUUUACAGACAAGGAAAUAGAGGCACACAGAAGUAACUUGUUCAUGUUUAACAAGUGGUCAACAGAAAAGUCAGGAUUUUCACCCAGUGCCUUAUCUACUAGAACACUGGCUGCGCCAGGCAAUGAACCCAGGCAAUCUGACACCUGUGCCCAUGUUCUUAACCGCUCGACAGUGGUUCUCAAACCCUGGUAUGCAUCCAUAUCAAAAGGCCUGAGGUUCCAUGUGCUGCCUUGAUACCUUUGAGACUCACAGGGCCCUGAAGGCCUAGCCAUGAGCUCCCGGCUCUCUCCAGAUAUGCCCUCUCAGUGGGAAAGGAUCCCUGCCCGCCUAGUUCCUCGUGUGUUAACCAUGUUUUAUGUACUGGCUAUUUGAUAUCUGCUAUUCCUAAUCUCUCCCUAAGUCUGCUGAAUCACAGGGCCAGACUAACAACCAAAAUUAUGUGCAUCUUCCCUGCAAGCAGCUUUCACCGGUGGGAGAAAGACAUAUUACAAAAGCAUAGGCCCCAGUUCCUUUCUCUGUCUGCUUCCUGACCCUUGCCUGUAGUGGGCUUCAUGUGGUCUGGUGUGGUGUGAUGUACCAGUGGAACUCUAAGUAUUAAAAUACUAUUCAUUGGCAUUAAUCUCUCCAUGUUGUCACUCAGCCGCUUUUAUAAAAUUAAGACUUAGGCACAAUUCAUCCUAUUUAGCCAGACCACCUGUACCCCACCAGGUCCUCCACAUAACAGGUUUUGCCUCCCUGCCAGCCUGUAGAAUUAUCCAAAUGGUCAAUUAAAUCUUCUUGCAGGAACCAAGGGUCACCCUGCUACCCUCCUGUCACUACAAAAUCAACCUACCAUGGCCCCUGUUGGUUCAAUCUAUUCUCAAGUGCAAGUCCCCUGGGCUGUGAAUAUGUGACUAAUAAACUGCUACCAACCUCUUCUGCAUAGGCUGACUGUAGGGUUUGUGUGUUCAGCCACCUCCUGCCAGUUCAAGUGAUGUCUUAGUCCAUUUUUGCUGCUAUAACAAAAUACCACAGUUAUAAAGAACAGAAAUUUCUCACAGUUCUGAAGGAUGGGAAGUCUAAGAUCAAGGCUCCAGCAGGUUGUGGGUCUGGUAAGGGCCUUUUUGCUGUGUUCUCACGUGGCAGAAGGGUAGGGGAAAAGGGGGAUGGAGGAAUGCUGUGUCUUCAUAGUCUUCAUAUGGCAGAAGAACAAGGGAGGUGAACUCUCUCUCUGAAGCCUCUUUUAUAAGAGCAUUAACUCCUUCAUGCCCUCAUGACUUAAUCACUUCCCAAAGGCCUCACCUCUUAAUAACACCACAAUGGGGAUUAAGUUUCAAUGUUUGGGGGACACUCAGACAGCAGCAGGUGGGGGAAUCCCUCCUUCACCAAUGGGGUGAAUAGGUGACCAGAACCCCCGAAUUACUAAUAAAGAACACAGAAGUUCAAGCUCAUAGAAGUAGUGUAGGGCCUGGGUCUUAUGAUUCUGAUGUGACCACAGUUCAAGAACCACUGCAUUAUUCUACACUGCCUCUUAAAGAGUUGACGGAACUGUCCAAGGGCACCCAGGAAACCAGGGGCAUGGCUCUGCCUGGCACUCAGGCCUACUGAUUAUCAGCUCCCUGCUCCUCUCCAGUAUAAGAUGCCCCUAGAGCUCUCUAUAAGAGGAAAGGGCUGCAGAAUGACUGGUAAUGCCUCUGGAGGCAAAUUCUCAGAAUGAAAGGGGAGGCUUCCCUUAGAUCAGUGCUGUCCAACAGAAAUAUAAUGCAGGCAAGCUAUUCGUGUAAUUUAAAUUUUUCUCAUAGCUACACUGAAAAAGGUAAGAUGAAGCAAGUGAACUUAAUUUCAACAAUAUAUUUUCUUUAACCCAACAUAUCCAAAGUAUUAUCCCCUCAACUUGUAAUCAGUAUAAGAAUUAUUGAGGGAUUUUACUUUCUUUUUUUCAUACUAGAUCUUUGAAAUCUGUUGUGCCUUACCAUUAUAACAUAUCUCAAUUCAGACUAGUUACGUUUCAGGUGCUCAAUAAUCACAUGCGGCUAAUGGCUACACUAUUGGAUAGUGCAGGUUUAGACCUUUUUAUUAAGGCAAUAUAGACUAUAUAAUCAUCUCACAGGGACUUGCUAAGUUCAAAAGACAGCAAAUUAGUUGUAGGUUUCAACAAUCACUAUCAUAGAAACUAUGCACAUUUGUUUAAAUAUGUAACAGAAUUAAAGUAUCCAUAGAAAAAGUGGAAAGUGGGGAAGAAAAGAAUACUUAAAAAUAUACCUUUGAGGCUGGGCACGGUGGCUCACGCAUGUAAUCCCAGCACUUUGGGAGGCCCAGGCGGGUGGAUCACGAGGUCAGGAAUUCAAGACCAGCCUAGCCAAGAUGGUGAAACCCCGUCUCUAUUAAAAAUACAAAAAAAUUAGCUGGG